rnacentral:rRNA from 1 species
AUUGAACGCUGGCGGCAUGCCUUACACAUGCAAGUCGAACGGCAGCACGGACUUCGGUCUGGUGGCGAGUGGCGAACGGGUGAGUAAUGCAUCGGAACGUGCCAUUGAGUGGGGGAUAACGUAGCGAAAGUUGCGCUAAUACCGCAUAUUCUGUGAGCAGGAAAGCAGGGGACCGCAAGGCCUUGCGCUCUUUGAGCGGCCGAUGUCAGAUUAGCUAGUUGGUGAGGUAAAGGCUUACCAAGGCGACGAUCUGUAGCGGGUCUGAGAGGAUGAUCCGCCACACUGGAACUGAGACACGGUCCAGACUCCUACGGAGGCAGCAGUGGGAAUUUUGGACAAUGGGGGCAACCCUGAUCCAGCCAUGCCGCGUGAGUGAAGAAGGCCUGUGUAAG